rnacentral:rRNA from 1 species
AGUGAACGCUGGCGGCAGGCCUAACACAUGCAAGUCGAGCGGCAGCGCGUCCGACCACCCUCGGGUGGUCGGAUGGCGGCGAGCGGCGGACGGGUGAGGAAUGCAUCGGAAUCUGCCUCGUUGUGGGGGAUAACGUAGGGAAACUUACGCUAAUACCGCAUACGACCUACGGGUGAAAGUGGGGGACCUUCGGGCCGUCACGCGAUGAGAUGAGCCGAUGCCGGAUUAGCUAGUUGGCGGGGUAAAGGCCCACCAAGGCGACGAUCCGUAGCUGGUCUGAGAGGAUGAUCAGCCACACUGGAACUGAGACACGGUCCAGACUCCUACGGGAGGCAGCAGUGGGGAAUAUUGGACAAUGGGGGCAACCCUGAUCCAGCCAUGCCGCGUGUGUGAAGAAGGCCU